rnacentral:lncRNA from 1 species
UUGCUAAAAUCAUAAGCUACCUUUCUUUCCAAUCUCUGUUGAUCUGGUUUCGGCAGAGGUGCAUGCAUGGGCAUGGACUUCUUCUCCAUCCGACUCAUGCUCUUUCUAACUUUGCUAUAGCCAGACUUCCCCUGGAGAGGGCCGAGAAGAUCCUGGACACUAAUGCGGCCAUCUCCAUCCAGAAUAUCACGACUAGGAUUAUAUUCAAACUCUGGAUAUGCCUCGGAUAUAAUAACAUCAUUUU